ensembl:lncRNA
GCAGUGACCGAUGCUGUUCCGCAGGUCGAGGCGGUGCCCGAGGCUGUGCCCGAUGCCGAGGCUGUGCCCGAUGCCGAAGCGGUGCCCGAGGCUGUUCCGGAGGCCGAGGCGGUGCCCGAGAUGGUUCCGGAGGCCGAGGCGGUGGCCGAUGUUGUUCCGGAGGCCGAGGCGGUGGCCGAUGUUGUUCCAGAGACCGAGGCGGGGCCCGAUGCUGUUCCGGAGGCUGCUCCCAGGGCGGUGCCCGAGGUCGUGCCCGAGGUCGUUCCCGAGGCGGUGCCCGAACCCGAGGCCGUUCCCGAGGCGGUGCCCUUGUCCAAGGGCGUUCCCGAGGCGGUGUCCAAUGCCGUGACCUGGCCAUCGCCACAGUCUGCUCCUCACUGGCUCCCCGAAUGGCAGGUUCCGUUCGGGCCACUCAAAUGGCGAAUUCCUCCCUGGCCAUCUGCACAACGAGAAUGGACUGAUCCACCGUGGCCACCUGAACUGCCUGGUCCCUCGUGGUCCCCUGAACUUUCGGGUCCACCAUGGCCCCCUGAUCUGACCGAGCCACCUGGGCUGCCAGGGGAGCCAUCGCUGCCGGUCCCAGUUCCCCUACACGGGCCUGGCCCGCCAUCCCUCCCCCUGUUCUGCCUCCACCAGUCCACCUCCCUCC